CAUGCAGUCGAGCGGGGUGAUGGUGCUUGCACUAUCACCUAGCGGCGGACGGGUGAGUAAUGCUUAGGAAUCUGCCUAUUAGUGGGGGACAACAUUUCGAAAGGAAUGCUAAUACCGCAUACGUCCUACGGGAGAAAGCAGGGGAUCUUCGGACCUUGCGCUAAUAGAUGAGCCUAAGUCGGAUUAGCUAGUUGGUGGGGUAAAGGCCUACCAAGGCGACGAUCUGUAGCGGGUCUGAGAGGAUGAUCCGCCACACUGGGACUGAGACACGGCCCAGACUCCUACGGGAGGCAGCAGUGGGGAAUAUUGGACAAUGGGCGCAAGCCUGAUCCAGCCAUGCCGCGUGUGUGAAGAAGGCCUUAUGGUUGUAAAGCACUUUAAGCGAGGAGGAGGCUACUUUAGAUAAUACCUAGAGAUAGUGGACGUUACUCGCAGAAUAAGCACCGGCUAACUCUGUGCCAGCAGCCGCGGUAAUACAGAGGGUGCAAGCGUUAAUCGGAUUUACUGGGCGUAAAGCGCGCGUAGGCGGCUAAUUAAGUCAAAUGUGAAAUCCCCGAGCUUAACUUGGGAAUUGCAUUCGAUACUGGUUAGCUAGAGUGUGGGAGAGGAUGGUAGAAUUCCAGGUGUAGCGGUGAAAUGCGUAGAGAUCUGGAGGAAUACCGAUGGCGAAGGCAGCCAUCUGGCCUAACACUGACGCUGAGGUGCGAAAGCAUGGGGAGCAAACAGGAUUAGAUACCCUGGUAGUCCAUGCCGUAAACGAUGUCUACUAGCCGUUGGGGCCUUUGAGGCUUUAGUGGCGCAGCUAACGCGAUAAGUAGACCGCCUGGGGAGUACGGUCGCAAGACUAAAACUCAAAUGAAUUGACGGGGGCCCGCACAAGCGGUGGAGCAUGUGGUUUAAUUCGAUGCAACGCGAAGAACCUUACCUGGCCUUGACAUAGUAAGAACUUUCCAGAGAUGGAUUGGUGCCUUCGGGAACUUACAUACAGGUGCUGCAUGGCUGUCGUCAGCUCGUGUCGUGAGAUGUUGGGUUAAGUCCCGCAACGAGCGCAACCCUUUUCCUUAUUUGCCAGCGAGUAAUGUCGGGAACUUUAAGGAUACUGCCAGUGACAAACUGGAGGAAGGCGGGGACGACGUCAAGUCAUCAKGCCCUUACGGCCGGGCUAC
rnacentral:rRNA from 1 species